rnacentral:misc_RNA from 1 species
GAUCAUUACCGAGUUUACAACUCCCAAACCCAAUGUGAACCAUACCAAACUGUUGCCUCGGCGGGGUCACGCCCCGGGUGCGUCGCAGCCCCGGAACCAGGCGCCCGCCGGAGGGACCAACCAAACUCUUUCUGUAGUCCCCUCGCGGACGUUAUUUCUUACAGCUCUGAGCAAAAAUUCAAAAUGAAUCAAAACUUUCAACAACGGAUCUCUUGGUUCUGGCAUCGAUGAAGAACGCAGCGAAAUGCGAUAAGUAAUGUGAAUUGCAGAAUUCAGUGAAUCAUCGAAUCUUUGAACGCACAUUGCGCCCGCCAGUAUUCUGGCGGGCAUGCCUGUCCGAGCGUCAUUUCAACCCUCGAACCCCUCCGGGGGUCCGGCGUUGGGGAUCGGGAACCCCUAAGACGGGAUCCCGGCCCCGAAAUACAGUGGCGGUCUCGCCGCAGCCUCUCAUGCGCAGUAGUUUGCACAACUCGCACCGGGAGCGCGGCGCGUCCACGUCCGUAAAACACCCAACUUCUGAAAUGUUGACCUCGGAUCAGGUAGGA